rnacentral:misc_RNA from 1 species
CACCACUCAAGCUAUGCUUAGCGUUGGGAGACUGCGCUAAACCGCAGCUCCUCAAAACCAGUGGCGGAGUUUAUCGUGCUCUGAGCGUAGUAAUUUCAUUCUCGCUUCUGUAAACCGGUAGACGACAGCCAUAAACCGCACCCUUCGGGGGCACUUUUUAAU